AUUGAACGCUGGCGGCAGGCCUAACACAUGCAAGUCGAGCGGAUGAAGGGAGCUUGCUCCUGGCUUCAGCGGCGGACGGGUGAGUAAUGCCUACGAAUCUGCCUGGUCGUGGGGGAUAACGUCCGUAAACGGGCGCUAAUACCGCAUACGUCCUGAGGGAGAAAGUGGGGGAUCUUCGGACCUCACGCUAUCAGAUGAGCCUAGGUCGGAUUAGCUAGUUGGUGGGGUAAAGGCCUACCAAGGCGACGAUCCGUAACUGGUCUGAGAGGAUGAUCAGUCACACUGGAACUGAGACACGGUCCAGACUCCUACGGGAGGCAGCAGUGGGGAAUAUUGGACAAUGGGCGAAAGCCUGAUGCAGCCACGCCGCGUGUGUGAAGAAGGUCUUCGGAUUGUAAAGCACUUUAAGUUGGGAGGAAGGGCAGUAAGUUAAUACCUGGAUGUUUUGACGGUACCAACAGAAUAAGCACCGGCUAACUUCGUG
rnacentral:rRNA from 1 species